UGAACGUCGAUCAUUUCUAAAUAACUUAAAGAUGCGUAAUGUAAUUAACAAUAUCGAUAAUGUCCAUGUAAUAUACAUAUGUUACGGUAUGAACUGAUUGCAAGGGCAAAGUAAUUAUCAUAAAAUGAAGACCUCGAAAUAUACGAAUAAGUAUCUACUACUCUAAAGGAAACCAUUUUUAUUAAAAUGAACACAUUUUUGAUAUCGUAAGUUAUUAUAUUCGGAUAACUUUGGUCGAAGAUCCCACAUCGAAAGCUGCAUCCUUCACAUAAGGAGUUUUUGUCAAGAUUGAAGCGGAAUUUCCUCUACUAACUAACUGAAGCCAAAUUGCGUUACACUUCGUAUGCAGUUUGAGAUUUCGGGGGCCCAUUUUGUUUACAGUAUGAUAUCAGAAAGCCGUGCUAGCUUUAGCAACCUACGUCAAUACGAUUGAUCAAGUGACUGCUCUCAGUUGUCAGUAAUAAAUAAGUAAUGCGGAAUAAGAAUAAAACAGAAAGUAUAUGAAACUAAACAACUUGCUUAACUGUACAAAAUUAUACAUUAUGA